CCUACGGGAGGCAGCAGUGAGGAAUAUUGGUCAAUGGGCGCGAGCCUGAACCAGCCAAGUAGCGUGAAGGAUGACUGCCCUACGGGCUGUAAGUGUCUUUUAUAAAGGAAUAAAGUGAGGCACGUGUGCCUUUUUGUAUGUACUUUAUGAAUAAGGAUCGGCUAACUCCGUGCCAGCAGCCGCGGUAAUACGGAGGGUCCGAGCGUUAUCCGGAUUUAUUGGGUGUAAAGGGAGCGUAGAUGGGUUGGUAAGGCAGUUGGGAAAGUUUGCGGCUCAACCGUAAAAUUGCAAUGGAUACUGGCAGCCUUGAGUACAGUUGGGGUAGGCGGAAUUCGUGGUGUAGCGGUGAAAUGCUUAGAUAUCACGAAGAACACCGAUUGCGAAGGCAGCCUACUAAACUGCAACUGACAUUGAUGCUCGAAAGUGUGGGUAUCAAACAGGAUUAGAUACCCCGGUAGUC
rnacentral:rRNA from 1 species